GUUUGUUUGGAGUUAUAAAGAAUUUGACCUGCCCCCUGAUUAAUAAUUAAAGGGCCGCAGUAUUAUAACUGUGCAAAGGUAGCAUAAUCAUUAGGUUUUUAAUUGGAAUCUUGCAUGAAUGGUUGGACAAGAGAAAGACUCUCUUUAUAUUAAAUUUUGAAUUUAACUUUUAAGUGAAAAGGCUUAAAUAUUCUAAAGGGACGAUAAGACCCUAUAAAACUUUACAUUGUGAUUAAUUUUGAUUGAAUUUGUAAAAUAAGAAUUUUAUUUGGUUAUUUGUUAUGUUGGGGAGACAUAAGUAAAAUAGUAUUUUAACUGCUUAAUAAUUAUACAAUUAUUAAUGAGCAAUAGAAGAUCCUUUUU
rnacentral:rRNA from 1 species